rnacentral:rRNA from 1 species
AUUGAACGCUGGCGGCAGGCCUAACACAUGCAAGUCGAGCGGAUGAAGGGAGCUUGCUCCUGGAUUCAGCGGCGGACGGGUGAGUAAUGCCUAGGAAUCUGCCUGGUAGUGGGGGAUAACGUCCGGAAACGGGCGCUAAUACCGCAUACGUCCUGAGGGAGAAAGUGGGGGAUCUUCGGACCUCAUGCUAUCAGAUGAGCCUAGGUCGGAUUAGCUAGUUGGUGGGGUAAAGGCCUACCAAGGCGACGAUCCGUAACUGGUCUGAGAGGAUGGUCAGUCACACUGGAACUGAGACACGGUCCGGACUCCUACGGGAGGCAGCAGUGGGGAAUAUUGGGCAAUGGGCGAAAGCCUGAUACAGCCAUGCCGCGUGUGUGAAGAAGGUCUUCGGAGUGUAAAGCACUUUAAGUUGGGAGGAAGGGCAGUAAGUUAAUACCUUGCUGUUUUGACGUUACCAACAGAAUAAGCACCGGCUAACUUCGUG